rnacentral:rRNA from 1 species
AGGAUAAACGCUGGCGGCGUGCCUAACACAUGCAAGUCGAACGUCCUACGCAAGUAGGGAGUGGCGGACGGGUGAGUAACACGUGGGCAAUCUACCUUUCGGUGAGGAAUACCGGCGAGAAAUCGCCGACAAUACCGCAUACGUUUCGCAAGAAACAAAGUCGCAAGACGCCGGAGGAGGAGCCUGCGCCCGAUUAGCUGGUUGGUGAGGUAAAAAGCCCACCAAGGCGUCGAUCGGUAGCUGGUCUGAGAGGAUGAUCAGCCACACUGGGAUUGAGAACGGCCCAGACUCCUACGGGGGGCAGCAGUGAGGAAUUUUCGUCAAUGGGGGAAACCCUGAACGAGCAACGCCGCGUGCAGGAUGACGCUUCUCGGAGUGUAAAACUGUCUUUUCUCGGGGAAGAGAACGGACGGUACCGAGGAAUCAAGCCCCGGCUAAACUACGCGCCAGCAGCCGC